CCUACGGGUGGCAGCAGUGGGGAAUAUUGGGCAAUGGGCGCAAGCCUGACCCAGCAACGCAGCGUGAAGGAAGACGGCUUUCGGGUUGUUAACUUCUUUUGACAGGGAAGAGCAGAAGACGGUACCUGUCGAAUAAGCCACGGCUAACUACGUGCCAGCAGCCGCGGUCAUGCGUAGGUGGCCAGCGUUGUCCGGCUGUACUGGGUGUAAAGGGCGUGUAGCCGGGCUGACAAGUCAGAUGUGAAAUCCGGGGGCUCAACCCCCGAACUGCAGUUGAUACUGGUGGUCUUGAGUAUCGGAGAGGCAGGCGGAAUUCGUGGUGUAGCGGUGAAAUGCGUAGAUAUCAGGAGGAACACCAGUGGCGAAGGCGGCCUGCUGGACGACAACUGACGGUGAGGCGCGAAAGCGUGGGGAGCAAACAGGAUUAGAUACCCGAGUAGUC
rnacentral:rRNA from 1 species